rnacentral:rRNA from 1 species
UAAGUCAGAAUCCGUGCUAGAGACGAUGAUGUUGGUCCCGCGCAUAUUAGUUGCGUCAGAAUAGAGCUUUGCUCGUGUACCAAAUCAGGUGGGCUGGGUCGGCUUGGCGGAAAUGCCUUGUCGGCUUGCCUGCGAAUUGUAAUAUCAUAUGUGCGGGGGUGAAUCCUUUGCAGACGACUUGAAUGGGAACGGGGUACUGUAAGCAGUAGAGUAGCCUUGUUGCUACGAUCUGCUGAGGUUAAGCCCUUGUUCUAAAGAUUUGUUCAGCCUCGAGUUGAACUCUUCUCCCUCCAUGACUCCGGCUUUAGGGCAGCUUCUCUGGGAGCGUCCGAGCCUUGAUCAUGCAGCUAGAAGGGGUCAGAAUGGUGCAUAUAAUAGGCUUUACAGCGCAUACAAGAGCAUGUAUGGCUUGGUUGAAUUGAUAGAGCGAAGCUGUAGUGUGUAUAGGAGCCGAAUAGAGUGCGAAUACAACGCCAUAUAGCCUGCCUACACAUGUAGCUUGCAUCCACGGGCA